UCUUGUGCUUGGAUGGUAACUCUGGAGAAAGAGUGGAUGUGGGCGGGAGGGAGAUGAAGGAGCCAGAGAUGACAGCAGGGUUGGGCUUACACACUGGCUGCCUGGGGUUCCUGGUGCCUGGCAACUACAGAAGAGACUUUCAGUCCCCUGAAGUGUACCCACAUCCUGGCCACCAUGAGGAUAAGAAUGUCCCACAAGGGAGCAGCUGGGGCAGGGAGGGGUGGAUGAGGUCCUUAAACCACAUCCCUUGUUGUAUAUAAUGACACGCACCCUCAGGCCACCAUCUGAUGUCUUCUUUGUGGAAUUUAGAUGUGGCAGAAAUGCCUGUAAUAACCUGACUCGGCUGUCACUACUGGGCUGGCCUAUAGAGGACUUUGCCACUGGAUAAGGCCUUAGUUUUUCAGCACAAGAGAGGCUUUCUUAAAAGAAAAAAAGAGUCAUGUUAGCAGGUGCCUUUCAAAAAGACACAGAUAUACACAAUGGCAGGUGGACAAAUCCCUCCCCCCACCUGUCACCCCUGCCAGGCAGAGGGAAUCAAAGGCAACAGCAAUGCAUCAAGUACAGGCAAACACACAAAGAAUGGGAUUGCUCUGAUAGGACCAGUCCAGCUUCCAGAACUGGGGCCAAUUCCUGCCCUAAUCUCAUUCACCAAGAAGCCACAGAACAUGGAGAGAAAGCAGACGGAA
rnacentral:lncRNA from 1 species